AAUAGAAGCUGGUACAUUUGCAAGCCCCAGUCCUACUAGGUCUCUCACACCUGUAGUAUUUCAGGGGCUGCGAGUAACACUCCUGACUUUAACAGGGAAGGUUACUGAUAAGGGAAGAUGCCUGAGGGACUCCUGGCAUCUGGCUCUGCAACACCCAACUCUGUUCUCCAAGCAGCUGCCCCAAAUUCUACCUUACUGUCAUUAAAAACAGAGAGGUCUUGCUCUGCUGCCACUCCCUGCUCCCUCCUCCUCACAGCCACCUUCCCAGCCGCAUUCCCUGGAACUCAUUAACAUCUUUACAAGAGCCUGAUCAUUUCCCAGAAAUAGCCCAGGUCAGAGAGGUGUCAGAGGACCUGAGCAGCCAAAGGCACGUGAGUUAUUUCACAAGGCACACGGCCUUUCGGAGGCACCUGAAACAGUCUCAGAUGUGUUUCCCAACCCCGCAGACAUUUCUCUUUCCCCGCAGGGUGGCAAGGAAGCUGGACUUGUUUUCGAAUCAGCACAAAACCAGCCUGCAGUGGCUGCCUCCCAUCUCCUGCCACCACGCGACUUUCAGAGUUCUUUUGAAUGUGGUCAACGAGCAGGCGUUACUUUUGGCACGUCCACGAUGCUGAGUUACAAAACUCUGCUCACCUGUAAGCAACAAAGGGCUUGCACAAGCCCUUGCCAGCAUCCUCAGGCUGCUGUGCCACUGCCCUUGCAUGCUAAGGCUUGGUUCCCAUCUGAGUGACCCAGUCACACCUCCAACAUCGCAGCUCAGCAUCUCCAGCACCUCGCAGCGACUGCCUUGAAGCCCCAGCUGCUGAACUGCUUUGUUUCUAAAUGCUCACCCUCUCAUUCUGGUGUAAGCGUGAAAAUUGAGAGGUCCUAAAAUCAGGAAUGUGUCCUCUCAAAGCCCUGGUGCAGCUUGAGCUCGACCACAACACGUUCAGUGCAUGGGCAGUGACUCCAGUUUGUUUCCUAAAGGGUUCGACGCAGCCUGCAGCGGGGUUAAAUCCCCUGCACGAAAUUGCUGCGCCCUUUCCUCUACCCUGCAGGACCGAGAGGACCUCGGGAGUCACCCAAACACUUCUGGAAGGAAACCAAAGCCACACCUGGAGGCACCCAGCAGUGAAACAACUGCAGGCAACACCCCAGUAACCAGAGGGCAUCUGAGCAGUGAGGAAGUUGGAGGUAUUUAAGCCCAUUCUGCAGCAGAGCUGGGGAGGAAUCCAUUUCCCCAGGCAGACAAGCAACACCCCAGGUGCCCUUUGCCUCAUACACACCUUUCUAAACAGCAGGGAGGGCAGCCAGGAACCAACCUCGUUGAGAACAGAAAGGAAAACGAUAAAUACCUCGAGUCCCAGCUGAGGCACUCGACUGGGUGAACGUGCAAGAGGGCAGAGACAACUCUGGUUUGGAAUAGGAAGGCCCACGGUACCACUUUCCUACACAAAAUUAGCGCCAGAGCUUCAAACACGAGAUGCAGAACAGCAACAGGCUCAGUUUUUGUGGGAACACUGCACCCUCUACCCAGCCACAGAGGAAUCGCUGGUUGGGUUUUUUGCAUUCAUCUGCAUCGUGAGCAUUCUCCUGCACCCAUGGAAACCAAACAUAAAGCACACUCAGCCUAAACAAUGACUGAGCCCUAUGAAACACCGGGCUGUAAGCUUCCUAGAACAGGAACUGAAGAAAUCAGUGACAGCUUUACCAAAGUGCGUGCGGUUUUAUUUUCUGAGUAAGAAAUUGUUACUAAAAACACUGCCCGUGCAGUUGUUUACUUGCAGACAGUGAAGUUUUCUUUAGAGUUGCAAGCAAGGAAGGCAUCUCUCGAGCUCACACACCAUGCAAGUGUUCCAGUUCACAUACCAUUUCACCAGCUGAGUAGAGCCAGGACA